UACAUCUAAUUUUCAAUAUUACUGAUGUCUCUCUAUUUCUUGAUUUAGCAACCUAAGACAAUCUCUUUCAAUGACCCACUAUAACCAGACAGGUCUCUUUGUAGACUUCCAUGGUCAAAGCGAAUAUGUCGCAUUUGAAGAAAAAAAUGAACAGGCGGGACAAGAAAAGAAUAUCAAGCAAACCAGAAGAAGCAUGUGUGGAAUAGAGAAGAGCAUUACAAAAUAAAGGUAAAAAUUUGUUUUUAAGUGGGAACAAAAUAAGGGACACUUUUGUGAAAUGCAAUUACAUGUUACACAAGAGACUAUUUUCCUAUAUCUAAUAUUUUUCACUCAUUUGGAUUACCUAACUGACCCUGUAGAUAUUUGAGUCUGACCCCAUUUAGAAACACACCCAGACCCAGACGCACAAGUCAUCUACCCCUGCCCUACUCCUAUGCCCUGGGGCGGUAAACAGCAAAGGCUGUCCAGCCCAGCACUGAUUCUCCUCCUCCACUUCCCUCCUCUUCCCGUUCUGAACAGUACUCUGCAAAGAUAAGGGAGGCAGCUGUAAAAAUUCCUAACUCUCCAACUCCAUGUUCCCUCCUCCUACACAGGGCCUCUCGCUCUAGGCCCCCAAUAUGGCAAAAUGCCCAUAUUAAGAGCUGAGUGAGACCUUCCUUUGCUAAUACGGCGCUAUGCGUUUUACAAAGUCACAGGCCUUCAAUUACAGCUGCAAACACUCAGGGCAGAUCACCCAGCUCGAUCCUUGUGGGAGGGAGCGGAUGACCUGUACAAGACAGCAGUCAAACCUAACAGAGGUAUCUACCCGCCGCUCAAAAGUCACAAGCAGAUCAGUAGCUACAAGGGCGAUGCCAAAGUUCUCAAGCUCCCCAUUUUAGGGAAAAGAAAAGGAGCCUCUGAUCAACCAGGUUUGAGUCAAAUCUGCAUCCCAGGACCAAUCAGUUUGGGGCAUAGAUCAAGCAUUCAAGAAACAUUUGCUGAAUUUAGAAUGUGGGUCUGCUCUCUGGGCCAUCAGAAGGAACCUAUCUUUAAGGCUCUGCCACUAGUCAGGUCCAACUUCUAAUAAUAUUACUACCUCAUUGUAUAAUCCACAAAGUGCUUCCACAUGACUUAUUUGAUUCAAUCAGGAAGGCUGUGAGCUAAGUAGGAUUGGUUUUAUAAUAUCAUCUCCAAUUUACAGAAGAGAAAAGAGAACUUAGGUUAAUGUGACUUCAUCAAGGUCAAAGAAUGAGUAUGGGCUUUGCAUUUACUACACUUUUGUCCAAGCCACCAUAAACUAGAUGCAUAAACAGGGAGAUAACACUAAAAAUUAUGAAUUAAUAUGAAACUGCAGCCCUUCAAAGAGAAAAAAAUACAUUAUCCAAAACAUGUUCUGUAAUAAAAGCAAUAUUCAAUAAACGCACAACACAAUUCAGGAAAAAGAAAUCAAGAUUUUAAAAAUGUUUUUAUGUAGAAAUAUUUUACAAAGAUUUUACAACAAUAGCAAAUCAUUACAUCGUAUUGUAGAAAGAAGAAAAAGGUUAAACUUCAAGAAUAAAGAAAGUGCUCACAGCAACGUAUUGCAGUCUCCAUGAAAGUGCAUGAACAGUUAAGGCAAAGUACCACGGUGGUACUGGCAUGUGGCAAAAUGAUGUCUACAACAGUUUUUCAAAAGAUAUACAAAAGUCUUUCUUUUUUCCUCCAUCUUCUCCAAGACAUUUGAAAGGGAUACAUUUAUGGACAGUCUUGUUCUACAACUAAGUAAAAAUAACUCCUGGGUACAAAACA